rnacentral:rRNA from 1 species
CCUACGGGUGGCAGCAGUGGGGAAUAUUGGACAAUGGGCGAAAGCCUGAUCCAGCCAUGCCGCGUGUGUGAAGAAGGCCUUCGGGUUGUAAAGCACUUUCAGUGGGGAAGAAAGCCUUGGGGCUAAUACCCUCGAGGAAGGACAUCACCCACAGAAGAAGCACCGGCUAACUCCGUGCCAGCAGCCGCGGUAAUACGGAGGGUGCGAGCGUUAAUCGGAAUUACUGGGCGUAAAGCGCGCGUAGGCGGUCUGAUAAGCCGGUUGUGAAAGCCCCGGGCUCAACCUGGGAACGGCAUCCGGAACUGUCAGGCUAGAGUGCAGGAGAGGAAGGUAGAAUUCCCGGUGUAGCGGUGAAAUGCGUAGAGAUCGGGAGGAAUACCAGUGGCGAAGGCGACCUUCUGGACUGACACUGACGCUGAGGUGCGAAAGCGUGGGUAGCAAACAGGAUUAGAUACCCCAGUAGUC